rnacentral:rRNA from 1 species
UACGUAGGGGGCUAGCGUUGUCCGGAAUCAUUGGGCGUAAAGCGCGUGUAGGCGGUCCGGUAAGUCCGCUGUGAAAGUCGGGGGCUCAACCCUCGGAUGCCGGUGGAUACUGUCGGGCUUGAGUACGGAAGAGGCGAGUGGAAUUCCUGGUGUAGCGGUGAAAUGCGCAGAUAUCGGGAAGAACACCCGUGGCGAAGGCGGCUCUCUGGGACGGUACUGACGCUGAGGCGCGAAAGCGUGGGGAGCAAACAGG